AGAGGUCUAGGACGGGUGGUUCUCAGCCAUCAAACCGGGGUUCGAUUCCCCGUGGGACCG
rfam:Candidate division Hyd24-12 bacterium Vib_1 contig210, whole genome shotgun sequence.